GUCCAGACUCCUACGGGAGGCAGCAGUGGGGAAUAUUGCACAAUGGGGGAAACCCUGAUGCAGCGACGCCGCGUGAGUGAAGAAGUAUUUCGGUAUGUAAAGCUCUAUCAGCAGGGAAGAAAUAGCGACCUUUGGGUCGCCAGACGGUACCUGAUUAAGAAGCCCCGGCUAACUACGUGCCAGCAGCCGCGGUAAUACGUAGGGGGCAAGCGUUAUCCGGAUUUACUGGGUGUAAAGGGCGUGUAGCCGGGUUGACAAGUCAGAUGUGAAAUCCUGCGGCUUAACCGCAGAACUGCAUUUGAAACUGUUGAUCUUGAGUACUGGAGAGGCAGACGGAAUUCCUAGUGUAGCGGUGAAAUGCGUAGAUAUUAGGAGGAACACCAGUGGCGAAGGCGGACUGCUGGACAGCAACUGACGGUGAGGCGCGAAAGCGUGGGGAGCAAACGGGAUUAGAUACCCGAGUAUA
rnacentral:rRNA from 1 species